rnacentral:lncRNA from 1 species
AUAUUUGUUCCUGGGCUUCUCUGAAGCGUCUGCAUUGAUUCACAGCACGCCCUUUCCCUUCCUCAGGGAGACAAGAGAAAUACGUCUGGAAGGGAGGCCACAGUGCCUACAGGACAGGAGGAGGACAGGGGAGCUUUGCAUAUAGAUCCAUAUAGAUCUGAUGGGCAGUGUCAGAGUCACCAUCCUCUGCCUGGCCCCACCCCUCUCUCCAAGCCCUCUGACCUUCCUUUCUUCGUGUUCAGGUGAACAUAGUGAAGCUGGAGGAGGUGACAGACAGCAGCAGAUGGGCCAGCAUGUGGCCUGUCCACUAAAGGUCCCCGAGAGAAGGCACAGCUCUAUGGGAUGCUCUACAAACACUGAGGAAUCUGCGGUCAUUGUGAAGAAGAUGCUAUCCCACCGGUCCAGGGCCCACGUACAGAUUACUUUGGGCUAUUUUUCCUCCCUCUAGGCUCAAGAAACAAAAAGAGGUAAGAGAUCAUUUGUCCUGGAGGCAAAUAAAAGUCACCAGGCCUGGGACACCUUCAAUUCCAUCUUCUACCACGGUACAGGUUCAGGAAGCUUUUAUAGCAACAGAACAAGGCUAGUCAUAAAUCAAGACAUUUUCAAAUACAUUGAUGGAAAUAUAAGGUAGGUGAGCUGUGGCAAAUUGGGGACAUCUCUGCUUUGGGCCUUCAUUUAUUCCAAAAGGGACUUCUAGUCGUCACUAGGGGAAUAUGAUGACCAUAACUGUUAGGCUCUGUUCUACUUCUCUCAGCCAAAGCAAUGCCUGCUGGGAAGCAGCUCCCCCUCCCCCUUGGCAGCCACCGACUUCCAGUCCCAAACUAGAAGGCUUGUUUUUCCUGUUGGGGCUGUCCUUUGUCAGUAUGUGGACAUCAAACCCAGGAUCCUUGACGAUGCCCACAUGUCCAGAAUGUAAGUGCUUCCUUCCAUCUGCCUCAGCUCACCGAGAUCCCUUCAAUACCCAAUGCUCUGCAGUGAACUGAGCUGCUAGUGUUUGGGGUGAUUGUGAGAAGAAAAAGUCGGCCUACUCAGUACAGAAGCAGAGUGCU